rnacentral:lncRNA from 1 species
UUUUUUGUUUUUUGUUUUUUUUGCUUAUGAAUCUGCACCAACCCCUCUGCUGGUCGAUAGUUUGCAAAUACAGAGGGCCACCCAGAUCAGUCCUGGCUUCACACAGUGUGUUACUUCUCUUUUGUCUGGUUGAGAGUGAUGUCUAAGAAAAUGUCUCCGAAGAUUGGAGGCAAAUGAGACAAACCACGUGCUGUACCUAGACCAGUACUCAGCUCAAGCAAGCAUCCAGCGGAGCUACUUUUAUUAUUUAUAUUAUAAUUUCAGCCCUCCCAGUAACCCCCAAUCCCAACCAAUGCCAUUUGCAAGGAAGAUCGGCCUGCAACAAAUGCUGCAUGCCUGGCUGUCCUCUUCAUGGACUUUCCAAAUUGUUUUUUUCUAGCUUUUUUAGAGCAAGAUUCUGAGACUCCUAGAUGUAAGGUUAAACUGAAUUGGGUUUUUAAGAGAUGUCCAUAAUCCGGAGACACAGGAGAAUGGAGACAUGGGCCACUGUGUGUCACAUGCCUCUUGCAUUUCUGCAUCCUGCUGCCUAACCAGGUGACAUUUGUCAGGCUGAUGUCCCUGAGGAGACUUUCUCUGAGAAGGGCUGGCUGUGAGGCUCACCAAUGGGGCCAGAACUUCUACUGAGACACUGAAAAUUGUCCCUGUGGGGUUAAGUCCACUGGGUUAAAGCUUAAGUCAAAUUUCCAACCUACUUUUUAUAGGAAAUGGUAGCCAUAGGAAAGAGGAAAUGCAGAGGAUGUCUUUUAGAAUUGUAGCUAAAUCAUUGAGCAUGCAAGUAUGUGAUUAGCCGUGAAGAUAAGAUUCAAAUAUGCAUUCUCUCAGCUCCCUCCUCUCUCUCUUUUCUCCUCUGCUCCUGUCUACGGAAAGAAGAAAGCCGAAGAGCUGACCAGGCAUUGAAAAAUGCAGCAUGCACACAGAGAAAUCAUAAAGGAUCUUGCUAGCACUGAAUAGCUGAGCAGAGAUUCAAAUGCUGUUGACUUAACAGAAACCAACUGUGUGUUUUUAUGAACAAAUCUAAAUCAUACCAGAUACUUCAGGGCUGGAUUUGCAAAGAGGCUCCAAGAGCUUUUUUUUUUGUGACAGAGUCAUGGUUUCUCCAUGCACAGGCACAG